rnacentral:tRNA from 16 species
GCGGAUGUAGCUCAGAGGUAGAGCACCGGAUUUGGGUCCGGAGGUCGCAGGUUCGAAUCCUGCUGUCUGCACCA